AUUGAACGCUGGCGGCAGGCCUAACACAUGCAAGUCGAGCGAGCGGCGGACGGGUGAGUAAUGUAUGGGGAUCUGCCCGAUAGAGGGGGAUAACUACUGGAAACGGUGGCUAAUACCGCAUACUAUCGGAUGAACCCAUAUGGGAUUAGCUAGUAGGUGGGGUAAAGGCUCACCUAGUCUACGAUCUCUAGCUGGUCUGAGAGGAUGACCAGCAAAACUGGAACGGAGACACGGCCCAGAGUCCUACGGGAGGCAGGAGGGGGGAAUAGUGCACAAUGGGAGCAAGCCUGAUGCAGCCAUGCCGCGUGUAUGAAGAAGGCCUUAGGGUUGUAAAGUACUUUCAGCGGGGAGGCGUUACCCGCAGAAGAAGCACCGGCUAACUCCGUGACAGCAGCCGCGGUAAUAC
rnacentral:rRNA from 1 species